rnacentral:rRNA from 1 species
CCUCAGUAACGGCGAGUGAAGCGGCAACAGCUCAAAUUUGAAAUCUGGCCGUGUCCGCGGUCCGAGUUGUAAUUUGUAGAGGAUGCUUCGGGUGCGGCGCCGGUCUAAGUUCCUUGGAACAGGACGUCAUAAAGGGUGAGAAUCCCGUCUGUGACCGGUGACCCAGCCCGUGUGAAGCUCCUUCGACGAGUCGAGUUGUUUGGGAAUGCAGCUCUAAAUGGGUGGUAAAUUUCAUCUAAAGCUAAAUACCGGCCAGAGACCGAUAGCGCACAAGUAGAGUGAUCGAAAGAUGAAAAGCACUUUGGAAAGAGAGUUAAAAAGUACGUGAAAUUGUUGAAAGGGAAGCGCUUGCAACCAGACUUGCCUGUGGGCGAUCAGCCGUCCUUCUGGGCGGUGCACUCGCCCGCGGUCAGGCCAGCAUCGGUUCAGGCGGCCGGAUAAAGGUCCCGGGAACGUGGCUCCCCUCGGGGAGUGUUAUAG